rnacentral:rRNA from 1 species
AAGCAAUUAUACAGCGAAACUGCGAAUGGCUCAUUAUAUAAGUUAUCGUUUAUUUGAUAGUACCUUACUACUUGGAUAACCGUGGUAAUUCUAGAGCUAAUACAUGCUAAAAAUCCCGACUUCGGAAGGGAUGUAUUUAUUAGAUUAAAAACCAAUGCCCUCUGGGCUCCUUGGUGAUUCAUAAUAACUUUUCGAAUCGCAUGGCCUUGCGCCGGCGAUGGUUCAUUCAAAUUUCUUCCCUAUCAACUUUCGAUGUUUGGGUAUUGGCCAAACAUGGUCGCAACGGGUAACGGAGGGUUAGGGCUCGACCCCGGAGAAGGAGCCUGAGAAACGGCUACUACAUCCAAGGAAGGCAGCAGGCGCGCAAAUUACCCAAUCCCGAUUCGGGGAGGUAGUGACAAUAAAUACUGAUACAGGGCUCUUUUGGGUCUUGUAAUUGGAAUGAGUACAAUUUAAAUCCCUUAACGAGGAACAAUUGGAGGGCAAGUCUGGUGCCAGCAGCCGCGGUAAUUCCAGCUCCAAUAGCGUAUAUUAAAGUUGUUGUGGUUAAAAAGCUCGUAGUUGAACCUUGGGCCUGGCUGGCCGGUCCGCCUCACGCGUGUACUGGUCCGGCCGGGCCUUUCCCUCUGUGGAACCUCAUGCCCUUCACUGGGUGUGGCGGGGAAACAGGACUUUUACUUUGAAAAAAUUAGAGUGCUCCAGGCAGGCCUAUGCUCGAAUACAUUAGCAUGGAAUAAUGAAAUAGGACGUGUGGUUCUAUUUUGUUGGUUUCUAGGACCGCCGUAAUGAUUAAUAGGGACAGUCGGGGGCAUCAGUAUUCAAUUGUCAGAGGUGAAAUUCUUGGAUUUAUUGAAGACUAACUACUGCGAAAGCAUUUGCCAAGGAUGUUUUCAUUAAUCAGGAACGAAAGUUAGGGGAUCGAAGACGAUCAGAUACCGUCGUAGUCUUAACCAUAAACUAUGCCGACUAGGGAUCGGACGAUGUUAUUUUUUGACGCGUUCGGCACCUUACGAGAAAUCAAAGUGCUUGGGCUCCAGGGGGAGUAUGGUCGCAAGGCUGAAACUUAAAGAAAUUGACGGAAGGGCACCACCAGGGGUGGAGCCUGCGGCUUAAUUUGACUCAACACGGGGAAACUCACCAGGUCCAGACACAAUGAGGAUUGACAGAUUGAGAGCUCUUUCUUGAUUUUGUGGGUGGUGGUGCAUGGCCGUUCUUAGUUGGUGGAGUGAUUUGUCUGCUUAAUUGGAUAACGAACGAGACCUUAACCUGCUAAAUAGCCCGUAUUGCUUUGGCAGUACGCC